rnacentral:sRNA from 1 species
AAGGAGGAGAUCUACUUCAGGGCAGAAAAUGAUGCAUAGUAUGCCUUAGAUGAAAAUGGUAUUUCAGAUUUAUUAAACUAUGAAAUUGACAUGUGGCUGAAGCUUUUAGAUAAGGGGAAAGAUAGCCCUCACUAGUAAGGAAAGUAAUCGAUAGAGAAGAAAGUAAUGCCCCUCACUGUCAGUAUUUUUAAAUGUUUUACAAAAAAUCUGGAGACCUAUUCUUCUAACAGUCCUCCCUGCAUGUCUCCGCCAGUGGUUGACCCUGCCUGCGUCCGCUGCAGGCCUCUGACUCCGGAAGGCAAACAGAGGCCUCAGGGUGGAGACUUCAUGAGAUUCCUGCCCAUGUUCCUUUCGGAUAACCCUAACCCCAAGUGUGGCAAAGGGGGACAUGCUGCCUAUAGUUCUGCAGUUAACAUCCUUGGCAAUGGCACCAGGGUCGGAGCCACAUACUUCAUGACCUACCACACCGUGCUGCAGACCUCUGCUGACUUUAUUGACGCUCUGAAGAAAGCCCGACUUGUAGCCAGUAAUGUCACCGAAACCAUGGGCAUUAAUGG